CGUAGUCGAUGGGAAACAGGUUAAUAUUCCUGUACUUGGUGUUACUGCGAAGGGGGGACGGAGAAGGCUAUGUUGGCCGGGCGACGGUUGUCCCGGUUUAAGCGUGUAGGCUGGUUUUCCAGGCAAAUCCGGAAAACCAAGGCUGAGGCGUGAUGACGAGGCACUACGGUGCUGAAGCGACAAAUGCCCUGCUUCCAGGAAAAGCCUCUAAGCAUCAGGUAACAUCAAAUCGUACCCCAAACCGACACAGGUGGUCAGGUAGAGAAUACCAAGGCGCUUGAGAGAACUCGGGUGAAGGAACUAGGCAAAAUGGUGCCGUAACUUCGGGAGAAGGCACGCUGAUAUGUAGGUGAAGCGACUUGCUCGUGGAGCUGAAAUCAGUCGAAGAUACCAGCUGGCUGCAACUGUUUAUUAAAAACACAGCACUGUGCAAACACGAAAGUGGACGUAUACGGUGUGACGCCUGCCCGGUGCCGGAAGGUUAAUUGAUGGGGUUAGCGGCAACGCGAAGCUCUUGAUCGAAGCCCCGGUAAACGGCGGCCGUAACUAUAACGGUCCUAAGGUAGCGAAAUUCCUUGUCGGGUAAGUUCCGACCUGCACGAAUGGCGUAAUGAUGGCCAGGCUGUCUCCACCCGAGACUCAGUGAAAUUGAACUCGCUGUGAAGAUGCAGUGUACCCGCGGCAAGACGGAAAGACCCCGUGAACCUUUACUAUAGCUUGACACUGAACAUUGAGCCUUGAUGUGUAGGAUAGGUGGGAGGCUUUGAAGUGUGGACGCCAGUCUGCAUGGAGCCGACCUUGAAAUACCACCCUUUAAUGUUUGAUGUUCUAACGUUGGCCCCUAAUCGGGGUUGCGGACAGUGUCUGGUGGGUAGUUUGACUGGGGCGGUCUCCUCCUAAAGAGUAACGGAGGAGCACGAAGGUUGGCUAAUCCUGGUCGGACAUCAGGAGGUUAGUGCAAUGGCAUAAGCCAGCUUGACUGCGAGCGUGACGGCGCGAGCAGGUGCGAAAGCAGGUCAUAGUGAUCCGGUGGUUCUGAAUGGAAGGGCCAUCGCUCAACGGAUAAAAGGUACUCCGGGGAUAACAGGCUGAUACCGCCCAAGAGUUCAUAUCGACGGCGGUGUUUGGCACCUCGAUGUCGGCUCAUCACAUCCUGGGGCUGAAGUAGGUCCCAAGGGUAUGGCUGUUCGCCAUUUAAAGUGGUACGCGAGCUGGGUUUAGAACGUCGUGAGACAGUUCGGUCCCUAUCUGCCGUGGGCGCUGGAGAACUGAGGGGGGCUGCUCCUAGUACGAGAGGACCGGAGUGGACGCAUCACUGGUGUUCGGGUUGUCAUGCCAAUGGCACUGCCCGGUAGCUAAAUGCGGAAGAGAUAAGUGCUGAAAGCAUCUAAGCACGAAACUUGCCCCGAGAUGAGUUCUCCCUGAGACUUAGAGUCUCCUGAAGGAACGUUGAAGACGACGACGUUGAUAGGCCGGGUGUGUAAGCGCAGCGAUGCGUUGAGCUAACCGGUACUAAUGAACC
rnacentral:rRNA from 1 species